rnacentral:rRNA from 1 species
UACGAAGGGUGCAAGCGUUGUUCGGAUUUAUUGGGCGUAAAGCGCGCGCAGGCGGAUUUGUAAGCCAGAUGUGAAAUCUCGGGGCUCAACCCCGAAAGUGCGUCUGGAACUGCUAAUCUAGAGUGAUGGAGGGGAGUGAGGAAUUUCGCAUGUAGGGGUAAAAUCCGUAGAGAUGCGAAGGAACACCAGAGGCGAAGGCGUCUCUCUGGCCAUCUACUGACGCUGAGGCGCGAAAGCGUGGGGAGCAAACAGG